UACGUAGGGUGCAAGCGUUAAUCGGAAUUACUGGGCGUAAAGGGUUCGUAGGUGGCUUGUUAAGUCAGACGUGAAAUCCCUCGGCUCAACCGGGGAACUGCGUCUGAGACUGAUGAGCUCGAGUGCAGGAGAGGAACGCGGAAUUCCAGGUGUAGCGGUGAAAUGCGUAGAUAUCUGGAGGAACACCGGUGGCGAAGGCGGCGUUCUGGACUGCAACUGACACUGAGGAACGAAAGCCAGGGGAGCAAACGGG
rnacentral:rRNA from 1 species